CUCAAAGGUAAACAUUGACAUGUCCUGCUUUCUUAAAGGGACUAGAGUCAGAUCCAUUUGAUAAGACAAGAGGUAAUGGUUUCAAGUUGUUUCAGGGGAUGUUCAGAUUGGAUAUUAGGAAAAACUUCCACUCAUAAAGAGUGGCAGUGCAUUGGAACAGGCUGCCCAGCGAGGUGGUGGAGUCACUGUCCUUGGAGGUGUUCAUGAAGAGGGUAGAUAUGGCACUGAGGGACAUGUUUAAAUGGGCAUGGUGAGGAUGGGCUGAUAGUUGGACUAGAGGAUCUUAGUGGUCUUUUCCAAAGUUAGUAAUCAUUAUUUGAUUAAAAUCCACCAUGGAACGCUUUUCCAUUAUUCAUUCUCACCAUUGUGUUGGAGCUGAGAAGAGGGCUUUUAUGCUACUGUGUGUGACAUGUCAUAGCACAGUGAUUACAUUGAGCCUACAACCACUUGUGCAAAUACCAACUAAUUUUUGACAUCUGGAUUAUCUAAGAAUGAGGGCAGAGGAAAAAAGCAGGAGAAACAGUCUUCCUGAUAAGUGUCCCUUCAGGCAACACACAUUUUUUUUUUGAAGCUUGUACAUCUUCAAAUGCAGUCAUUGCAGGAACUUGGGGGAGCUGGAUGGAGAAACAGAAACAGAGUGAGCAACAGGAGAAGAAACUGCUCCUGAGCAUGACUGGAGAUGUAGUACCAGCAGUGGCUGAACCAGUGCUGGAAUUCAGACCCAGUAACAACUAUGACCAUAAAAAGACAAAUAAUGUAUUCAGAUGCCCAUCUAAUUUCUUCAUGCCAGCUCUGGAAGUGAUCAGCCAAAAAAGAAUACAAAUAUACUGCAGGAUUUAGGUCUACGCUUGCUGUAUGAUGAUUGUUAAAGGUCUGACAGCCACAGGCUGGCUGUCUUUGGAAGGCUGAAGUGUGGAGGAGCUUACAAGAGCCAGCAUCCUGCAUAAGUUGCUCCCCGUUUCCAGCCAAGGCCCAAAGCCAUCACUGCUCCUUUCCUGUGUCCAAGGCCAAGCCUGAGCAGCCAAGCCACCUGGUGCUGCUUGGAGAGCCAAAAUGAGGAAGAAAACUUGGCACAGGCUGACCAGAAGUCCUCAGUGUUGUUGAGUCUUAGUCAUUGCCUCCUCUAUGACUUGGGGCAACCCCCAGGGCUGCAUGCUCCACUCCAGCUUCUCUGUAAAUCAAAGGCACCUGAUUUUGAACUGCUGAUCCAUUUGUGCUUUUGUCCUUGCUCCCCAGGGCACAAACAUCAGUGUCUAUGGAAGAUGAGAGAUUCCUCCAAGCCCACACAGCAAGUGAGUUGGCAGUGCUUAUGCACAGGCCCUGAUGGAGUCAUUUGUUUUUCUUUAUAAACUGUAAAUGAAGGAACAAGAUGGCAAAUGAUUUGGCACCUUGUGUUUCUAAAUGAGAUUAUUUUGACAGUUCCCCUCCUUCAGCAUUAACCAUGGUGUCCCGUAUUUUUGGCUAUUGUAGGUCCCCACUUAAGUGGGAAUUUUUUUGUGCAACCCACAGUUGAGCAGCUGCCAAUUCUGUCUAACCCAGGGCUAAGUCUCUUCCCCAGCUCCAAAGGAAAAGAGAUCCCACCUGU
ensembl:lncRNA